rnacentral:rRNA from 1 species
UACAGAGGUGGCAAGCGUUGUUCGGAAUUACUGGGCGUAAAGGGCGCGUAGGCGGCCUACUAAGUCGGACGUGAAAUCCCUCGGCUCAACCGGGGAACUGCGUCCGAUACUGGUGGGCUCGAAUCCGGGAGAGGGAUGUGGAAUUCCAGGUGUAGCGGUGAAAUGCGUAGAUAUCUGGAGGAACACCGGUGGCGAAGGCGGCAUCCUGGACCGGUAUUGACGCUGAUGCGCGAAAGCCAGGGGAGCAAACGGG